UAGAGGGAUGGAGAGAUAGAGGGAUGGAGAGGUAGAUGGAUGGAGAGAGAGAGGGAUGGAGAGAGAGAGGGAUGGAGAGGUAGAGGGAUGAGAGAUAGAGGGAUGCAGAGAUAGAGGGAUGGAGAGGUAGAGGGAUGGAGAGAGAGAGGGAUGGAGAGAGAGAGGGAUGGAGAGGUAGAGGGAUGGAGAGCUAGAGGGAUGGAGAGGUAGAGGGAUGGAGAGAUAGAGGGAUGGAGAGGUAGAGGGAUGGAGAGGUAGAGGGAUGGAGAGGUAGAGGGAUGGAGAGGUAGAGGGAUGGAGAGGUAGAGGGAUGGAGAGAUAGAGGGAUGGGGAGAGAGAGGGAUGGAGAGGUAGAGGGAUGGAGAGAUAGAGGGAUGGAGAGACAGAGGGAUGGAGAGAGAGAGGGAUGGAGAGAUAGAGGGAUGGAGAGAGAGGGAUGGGAGAGAUAGAGGGAUGGAGAGAGUGAGGGAUGGAGGAGGAAGGUGUUAAUAGAGAAGACUGGUAGAAGAGAGAAAUAAAGGCAGAG
ensembl:lncRNA